UGUGUACUCCCUCCGUUCCAAAAUACUUGACUUCCAUUUGUCCAAAAAUGGAUGUACCUAUAUACUAAGACAUGUCUAGAUACAUAUAUAUUUUGACAAAUAGAAGGCAUGUAUUGUGCAACGGAGGGAGUACAAU
rnacentral:pre_miRNA from 1 species